UGCCAGCAGGCCGCGGUAAUACGUAGGGACCAAGCGUUGUCCGGAUUUACUGGGCAUAAAGCGCGCGUAGGCGGCUCGAUCAGUCGGAGGUGAAAGCCCGCAGCUCAACUGCGGAACUGCCCCCGAUACUGUCGAGCUUGAGUGCAGGAGGGGUGACCGGAACUCCAGGUGUAGCGGUGAAAUGCGUAGAUAUCUGGAGGAACACCAGAGGCGAAGGCGGGUCACUGGACUGCAACUGACGCUGAGGUGCGAAAGCUAGGGGAGCGAACAGGAUUAGAUA
rnacentral:rRNA from 1 species